rnacentral:antisense_RNA from 1 species
CGGAAGCCGCCGGGGCCGCCUAAAGAAGAGGCUGUGCUCCGGCGCUCCGGCUCCUCAGAGAGCCUCGGCUAGAUGUGGAAACAGCAAGAGAACUAGAAUUGGAAGUAAAGCGUUGAAGAUGUGACUGAAUUGCUGCAAUCUCAUGAUCAAAUUUGAAUGGAUGAGGAGUUGCUUCUUAGGGAUAAGCUAAGAAAGUUGCUCCUUGAGGGCAGGACAGUUCUUAUGGCUUUAUCUGUUGCUUAAGCACAGAGAGAGGUCUGUGAGGUCAAAACUGUUGUCAUGAUAGCAAGAUGCUUGUCUUUUUCAUUUAUUCUCACAGUGUGCAGAGGCUACAUGAUUUGUGAUGACAUCCUCAUUGUUGUUAAUGAAUGGUGCUAUACUUGAAUUUUCUAAGGUGUCGUUAGGUAGGUUUAGGUAUGCAUACUUGUUUUUAGAAAUUAUUUUUUCCCCUUUUCCCAUUUUUAGAAAUCAACUCAUUUUUUAGCCUUCAGUAAUCUUUGCAACCUCAAUAUUGUGCAAUUGUUAGUUUAAAAUACUGUAGUUUUCUUUGUGCCUAAGUAUAAACAUAAGUACAUUUUGUUGUUUUGUUUGCAAUAGUGGUUUAAAUAUUUUCCCAAAAUAUCCACAUUUAAAAAUUCUACAACUUUAGAAUUUAAUAAAUUUAUUCUAAAAUAUUUAUAUUUUUUUCAUUUAAGAAUGGAUCAUUGGCUUAAAAAGACUGCUUCUCAUUUACUUAUUGGCUAUACCAUCUGUAUACUAAUAAAAAACAAGAUUUGAUUUGGAAGGACUGACUCAAACUAACGAAAAUAUGAAACCUGUCUUUCUGCUUUGGAGAUACUUACCUUACCAUGUUCUGCAGUAGAAUAAUUUAGUUCUUUUGUCUUUUUUUGGAGAUGAGGUCUUGCUCAGCCUAUUCACAGCUGCCAUCAUAGUGAACUACAGCCUGAAACUCCUGGGUUCAAGCGAUCCUCCUGCCUCAGCUUCCUGAGUAGCUGGAACUAUAGGCAUGCACCACCAAGCCUGGGCUUUUAAAAAAAUUUAAAAAAAAACUUUUUUUGAGACAGGAUCUUGCCAUGUUGCUCAGGCUAGCCUUCAACUCGUAGCCCUGAGUGAUCUUGCUUUGGGGCUCCCAAAAUGUUGAGUUAAUAGGUGUGAGCCACCAUACCACCCAGCCAAAAAUUUUUUUAGAGAUGGGAAUGGAAUGAUUUUGAAUAGUGCUGGUGUCACCUAUGUUGUGGCAUCAUUUUGAAACCAAUCAUUCAGAGUGCUUUUUUUGGUAAGGCAUUAUUUUUUAAUGCAGGUAUGCCACUACUGAAAAAAAAAAAACCAAAAAAAAACAGGUUUUAAAGCUAGAAAUGAAAAAGCUACUUAAGUAUCUUAAAGGAUAAGUUACUUUAUUAUACACUAGAAACAUACACAAUGCUGAAAAACUUAAGAAAUCUCACAUUGCUGAAUGUCUCUGCUGGCUGAAGUGUAAGUAAAAGAUCAUAGUAAUGCCGCUGUUGAGUCAUUAAAGAUGUGUGUGCAGACAUGGAUUCUGAGUUAAUAUCUCAUCUGUAGAAGUAUACAUUUGUCCCUUGCUUUGGGAUUGGUUUCAGGACACCACUCCCCCACCCUUGCUGGCCAUUUGCCAAAGACACCAAAACCCAAGGAUGUUGAAGUCCCUUAUAUAAAAUGGCACUGUAUUUGCAUACAACUUACAUACAUCCUCCCAUAUACUUUAAAUCAUUUCCAGAUUUCUUAUAAUACUUCAUACAAUGUGUAUGCUAUAUAAAUAGUUGUUACAUUGUGUAUUUAUGUUU